GAUGAACGCUGGCGGCGUGCUUAACACAUGCAAGUCGAACGGUGAAAGUGGGAGCUUGCUCCUACUGGAUCAGUGGCGAACGGGUGAGUAACACGUGAGUAACCUGCCCCAGACUCUGGGAUAAGCGUUGGAAACGACGUCUAAUACCGGAUACGAGACGAGAAGGCAUCUUCAUCGUCUGGAAAGAAUUUCGGUCUGGGAUGGACUCGCGGCCUAUCAGCUAGUUGGUGAGGUAAUGGCUCACCAAGGCGACGACGGGUAGCCGGCCUGAGAGGGUGACCGGCCACACUGGGACGCAGACACUGCCCAGACUCCUACGGGAGGCAGCAGUGGGGAAUAUUGCACAAUGGGCGAAAGCCUGAUGCAGCAACGCCGCGUGAGGGACGACGGCCUUCGGGUUGUAAACCUCUUUUAGCAGGGAAGAAGCGAAAGUGACGGUACCUGCAGAAAAAGCACCGGCUAACUACGUGCCAGCCGCCGCAGUAAGAC
rnacentral:rRNA from 1 species